GAUGAACGCUGGCGGCGUGCCUAAUACAUGCAAGUCGAGCGAACGGACGAGAAGCUUGCUUCUCUGAUGUUAGCGGCGGACGGGUGAGUAACACGUGGAUAACCUACCUAUAAGACUGGGAUAACUUCGGGAAACCGGUGCUAAUACCGGCUAAUCUUUUGAACCGCAUGGUUCAAAAGUGUAAGUCGGUCUUGCUUUCACUUUUAUAUGGUUCCGCGCUGCAUUAGCUAGUUGGUAAGGUAACGGCUUACCAAGGCAACGAUGCAUAGCCGACCUGAGAGGGUGAUCGGCCACACUGGAACUGAGACACGGUCCAGACUCCUACGGGAGGCAGCAGUAGGGAAUCUUACGCAAUGGGCGAAAGCCUGACGGAGCAACGCCGCGUGAGUGAUGAAGGUCUUCGGAUCGUAAAACUCUGUUAUUAGGGAAGAACAUAUGUGUAAGUAACUGUGCACAUCUUGACGGUACCUAAUCAGAAAGCCACGGCUAACUACGUG
rnacentral:rRNA from 1 species